GGAGGCGUCUGGACGCCUGGUGGGUCCCCCGGUCUUCAAAACCGGUGAGGGGUCGAUUCGGCCCCUGGCGGGUUCGAUUCCCGUUCGCCUCCGCCA
rnacentral:tRNA from 1 species